rnacentral:lncRNA from 1 species
CGAACUUUAUUUUUUUAAAAAUAAUAUGUAUAUAUGCACACACACAUUACCAAUGCUAUAGUCUGUUACUACUUUUGCUUUUUUUAAAACAUCCAUCCCUAAAUCUCUAAAUCAGAUCCAAAGUCUAUUCAAAUGGCCACUUUAUGCAAGCAACGGUUAUCACCGUUUUUCUAAGUGUGCGUUAUUAACAUUUUCACCAAGCAAACUGAGUGUGGACAUUGCUUUAAUGGGAAGAUAGUAGUAUUCUAACAAAAGCGCCGGUUGAAAGCCUUGCAGUUGAGGUAAAUAUUAAGAAGUUGGUAAGCAUCUGGAGAAUCAAGGCUGGAUGAGGGAGGAACGCAGAAACGGAUCUUGUUCAACAUGAAACUCAUUUCUAUACGUUUGUCACAGACUUCUAUUCCUUGAGAGACAGCAGUCCGCUUGCACCCCAGAUUUCCUGUGCCUUUGAAUAUGAAGGAAACACGGGAAUUCUGGUAACAUCUAGAUUGCCGCAACAGAGAGUCAGAGGCCAACGGGGACCAAAUGCUCUGCUUCGAAAGGUGAAUGAAAGGAGCAUUUCUGUCCUCUUGCCUGACGCCACUAUUGGAUAUCUUCCCGGGCGCCCUCCCCCACCUGCCAACAGUGUUGUUAUUUCCUGGGUCGCUGAAGGACUCAGUGGCUAACUCCGUCUGGGACUCUACAGCAAGUCCUGCCAAGAGCCUGAGUCGCUUGGGAGCGGACAAGAUUGGCUGCGCUCACGAGACCUGGUCCUUUGUACACCCCUUUUCAUCUGAUUUCCUUUGACAAAAAUGACCGAAACCUCACGCCCUUUUCCUUUUCUCCAAAGUAGAGGCGCCGGCGCAGUGUUUGUUCGUGGAACCUGUCGUUUUGAUCCACUUUUCUGGGAUUGAAGCUGAAGCCAGUGUUGGAGUCGGGGCGUGCAGGGAGUGGGGAGCGCCCAACUCCUGCAGAGGCGGAUCUGAGGCUGGUUUUUCUCAACUCAGAUCUGGCCAGGACCAGAUGACAAGGCUACAAAGGUGUCCAGUGACUUUCAGCCGUCUUUAGCCUUAAAAAAGCCUUAAGAAAUAAUAGUAACCAAAUGAGACCUUCGGAUAAUUUAAUACCCCUCCCCUUAUCUGAAUGGCUGCACCUUAAUCCAGCCUUAAUCUAUAUGAAAUAGGAUUAUCAUGAACAUCUUUUUUCCUGUUCCAUCCACUUUGCUAAACUUGGCAAAGGGAAGUGGUUAGUUUAUGAUUGUUUUAUUGUGCUGUCUUAGAAUUCUACAUUGUCGUUACAAGCCUCUGGUCAUAUCUUAAACAGGAGAGUGAGUCCCAUGAACUGAUAUCUAUGUGUGCAUGUAAAUUCAGACACAAUGAGAAGACUGCCACUAU